rnacentral:rRNA from 1 species
GACGAACGCUGGCGGCGUGCCUAACACAUGCAAGUCGAACGGAGUUGACCUUCGGGUUAACUUAGUGGCGAACGGGUGAGUAACGCGUGAGAAACCUGCCUUUCAGUGGGGGACAACAGUUGGAAACGACUGCUAAUACCGCAUAAUGUCAUUUGGGGGCAUCCUCGAAUGACCAAAGAUUUAUUGCUGAAAGAUGGUCUCGCGUCUGAUUAGCUAGAUGGCGGGGUAACGGCCCACCAUGGCGACGAUCAGUAGCCGGUCUGAGAGGAUGAACGGCCACAUUGGGACUGAGAUACGGCCCAGACUCCUACGGGAGGCAGCAGUGGGGAAUAUUGGGCAAUGGGCGAAAGCCUGACCCAGCAACGCCGCGUGAAGGAAGAAGGCCUUCGGGUUGUAAACUUCUUUUACCAGGGACGAAAUUUGACGGUACCUGGAGAAAAAGCAACGGCUAACUACGUGCCAGCCGCCGCGGUAACAC